UCCUGUCAUUAGAAACUCAAAGUGUGUGCUGGCUAUGGGAGGACUCUGCAGUGAGAAACACAGCACAAAUGGAGCGUGGCUGUUUUCUGUGACAGACCUGGGCCUGUCCCUGCAGUGCUUCAAAAAGAGCAAAGAGGAAAGAUAGAUGCUCUAUUGUUCUGCCCAAACACUUCAUUUUGCAAGAAAAAGAAGGCCUGAUCAAACUUGCCUCGGUAGAUGUCUGACUCACUUCUGUUGGGCUCUUUCCACUUUGGCAAAAGGCACACUGUAGACAUGAAAAGAGCUGGUGUGAUAUACUUGUGAACCAGACAAGGACUCCUCUAGUAUCUGCUCAUUCCAAUAAAAUAGUUACAGGGACCCAUGCCCUUUGUGAUUUCUACUCUUCUCUGUAGUGUUGCUCUUGUGAAUUAAGGGAGUGCCAGCUUUACUUAGGCUUAGCAGUUUGGUAUAAGUAAUAAUAACGCUCUAGUCUGAUCUAGAGUUCCUUGCUGCAUGGAGAGAAGUCUGCUGUAGCACUAUCCUUGGAACAGCUUUUUCUGAAGACUUAAAUGCCAACGUUCUACAAUGACUUCUCAGGAGACUUGAUUACCAUCACAGACCACUCAGCUCAGAGGCUCCUGCUGCUCACCCACAGAUGAUUAACUCUUUCCACUGGGAGACGGUCUAGGAUGUGCAAUGGUACUGCAAUGCAUGACAGGGUCCAUUUUCCUACUGACCUGUCUGGGAACAGACAGAGGACCUAAACCCAAAAGAAGGGUAAAGGUAGAGGCAAUUGAACUAAUUUAAAAAGCAGCUGACUAAAGAAUUCUAUACUGACCCAUCAGAAAAUUAUUUUGGCAACUGAGCUGCUGCCUGCUUCUGCUUUUGAAGACCUUUGUUUCCACCACACACAAUAGAUUGGAUUGCUACCUGCUACCGGAUUUCAGCCAGUUCAGGGAAAACAUGAAGCUGAAUCAAGGACCGGGUUAUAAUUCCCUAAAUUACAUUUCUCAGUAGACAACCCUGAUGCUGCAGUCAGUGUCUGGGACUGCUUUGAAAUAUGUCAGCCAAGGAGAACACUCUGAAGUAUCUCCUAACCUCAUUCCUCCAAUCAUCUCAUUGACAUUAAUGUAGGGACAUGGCAGAGGAAUACCUUCCUGAGGGGCUCUCACAGAGGAUAAAAGGCUGCCUGAUCUUUCAGAAGCUGCUUCUCAGAAACCAUUUCACCUAAAACCAUGAUGUUAGUAUCACAUGCCAACAAAUAAUUCAAGAACACUUCAAGGGUUUUCAUGUGUGGUUGAAGAGAAUGACUGAUAGUAGAGAGCAGAAAAGAGAAGAAAAAAGGUAUAUGCAUUUUGUCAGUUUCCUGUCUGAAAUGAUGGAUGCUGUAAGAACAUAUUACCUUUUAUUACAUGUACGUUUCUAAUGGUUCUGUUUUCUGUUGUUGACUGCGCUGAAAAGUGAAAUCUCGUGUGUAACUUUAAAAACUGCCUUUUUUGUCAGUGCUGCCUUGAUUUUGUCAGCAGGCAUGGGUCUACUUCCCCACAAAUUUGACCUGACUAUUGUCUUUUUUUGGAAGAAACUGCAUGCAGUUUUGGUGGUUAUGACAGCAGGGGGACUAACUGCACUCACUAGAGUCAAACAUCAAUGGUGCCUGAGGACUGAUUCUUGGCUGCAAAGAUAAUCUAUGAAAGAAGUCCUCUCUCCAGUCAUGAAAGUGACAUUGUCCCGGGUCAAGGAAAGCAAGCACACUG